CUGCAGGCAGGACAGUCCUCUUCCCGGGCUCACCGCAACAUUCAGUAGCUGCUUUGAAGGAACAGAAUAAGGUUGCCACAUGCCAGUCUGUCCUCCGAUCACUUCAGGGUUCCACUCACCGUGGGUUCAAGGCUUCUUUGAUUCUUUGUUUCCUUUAGUUUUCAUUCUCUCCUCUUCAGAACAAGAGUAGAUGGUUCGGUGUAUGCAAAUAUCACAGUUCCAGAAACCCACACCUGUGACUGAUGGGAGUGGUGGACAAAUACCCACAACUUCCUCUCUCUACUCUUGGCUGAGGACAAUUCUGAAGUGAGCCCUACACUGUCUCCCAGAUGCAGUCUGACCUGAGCCAUGAAGAAGUGCAGAGUCCCCAAGAGGCCAGAGAGCUCACGUCUGGUUAGAGUCGGGGUGUUUGAUGGGAAGAUGAAAGGAGGAGCUGGCAUCUGAGAUUUAGCAGAGAUUCCGUUCGGAAGGAUUCUGGCGAAACAGCGUGAGUUGACAACUCUGCUUCUGAAUAGUACAUUAUUUAUUCAGUGCCAGCCACGAGCCCGGCAGGUGAUGAGCUAAACUAAACUUGCUGGCACACACACGCAGAACUCAGGAACAGCAGAGUGAUGGCAGCCUCAUCUCAAAGUGGCUCCUUCAAGGAGGAGGACUAAGAGUGUUAAGGUGAGGAUCUCGCCCUGCUCUGAAUGGGGAGGGGAACUUCUGUGUGCGCCCCUGUGUGCCGGCUUUCUAUACUCAAUAACAUUUGUUCUCCACCACAACCCACAAGGCAUGUGUCACUCUCAGGGACCCUGAGGGUGGUAGUGACUUACCUAAAGGCUUGAACCCAAGUGUCCAAUUCAGAAUCCAGAGCUCUUUUCAAUAAUGCAUUAGAAGAGGCUGCUGGUUGGGGUGGUAACUAGUCUCCAAGAUGGCACCAAUGAACUGGUUUUAGCAUUCCCACCCUUGUACCGUUGCCUCUCACAUUGAAUCUGAGCUGACCCCGUGUAGCCAGAUAAAUGUGGCUGAAGUGAUGCUGUGUGACUUCCGAAGCCAGGUCAUAAGAAGCCUUGCAGCUUCUUGAUUCUCAGAAUGCUUGCUCUGGAAGAAGCCAGCUGCCGUGUAAGAAAUCAGAUGUCUCUGAGACCACCAUGCUGUGAGAGGCCACGACUGCCACAUGCAGAGGCUACAUGGAGAGAGAGAGAGAGAGGAGAGGGACAGAGAGAGAGAUGCUCAGCCAUCCCCGAGCCAAGGCAUAAACACAUGAGUGAGGAAGCCAGGUUGGAUGUUCCCACCCCCUCCGGUCCUCAGAUGACACCAGCCUCAGCUGCCAUCUGACUGCAACCAGAAGAGGCACCCAGAAAGACCUGCCCAGCU
rnacentral:lncRNA from 1 species